GCCACAGCUCAGCUGGAAGAGCACCUGCCUUGCAUGUGGCAGGAGGGCCCAGCUUCAAUCCCCACUGGUAUCUCUG